GACGAACGCUGGCGGCGUGCUUAACACAUGCAAGUCGAGCGGAAAGGCCACUUCGGUGGUACUCGAGCGGCGAACGGGUGAGUAACACGUGAGUAAUCUGCCCCUGGCUUUGGGAUAGCCACCGGAAACGGUGAUUAAUACCGGAUACGACCACUUCUCGCAUGGGAUGGUGGUGGAAAGUUUUUUCGGCCAGGGAUGGGCUCGCGGCCUAUCAGCUUGAUGGUGAGGUAAUGGCUCACCAUGGCUUCGGCGGGUAGCCGGCCUGAGUGGGUGACCGGUCACACUGGGACUGAGACACGGCCCAGACUCCUACGGGAGGCAGCAGUGGGGAAUAUUGGACAAUGGGCGGAAGCCUGAUCCAGCAACGCCGCGUGAGGGAUGACGGCCUUCGGGUUGUAAACCUCUUUCAGCAGGGACGAAGCGCAAGUGACGGUACCUGCAGAAGAAGCACCGGCCAACUACGUGCCAGCCGCCGCCGUAA
rnacentral:rRNA from 1 species